rnacentral:lncRNA from 1 species
UUGUUCUUUCCAUAUUACAGAUUUGGCAUAUUUAAGUCUUCACAAUGGAUAGGUUAUGGAGUGAAUUGUAUCAUGAGAGAAAGUAAUGAUGAUUCCAUCUGCCAUUUUCAGUGAAUCUCUGAAUGUAUUUACAUAUUUGGAAACCUGUUUUACCAAAAAUAUUUGAAUCUGAAAUGUGUGAUUCCUAUCCCAACAAAGUGAUAUGCUUGGGAAAAGAUGUCACAGAAAUUUUCAGAGCACUGGAGGUAGUCUUUGACUGUCAGCUUUAUAAUAGCAGCAGAUUGCAUUGUAUACUACUUCUAAAUAAAUAUGAGGACAGAAUACUAACUAUGUUUUAGCUGGUAUUUUAAAAUGGUAUUUUAAAAUGGCAUUUUAGCAUGGCAUUUUAAAAGUAACUUUAAAAAUCCCCCAAGUUUGGCUGAACUUAGAUAUUGUUUACACUUACCUUUGCUAUGGAAAGACAUGAAAAUAUAUAUAUUUUUAAUAUUAUUGUAAAGAAUGUAGUAAAUACUGUGAAAAAGCCAAUAUAGCUUCCCUAAGAAUUUCAGGGUGCAGGCUAGACCAAAGUGUUACUGUAAUUUUCUUGCAUGUGCUGUACCAGUCUCUUCUGGCAAGUUUGUAUUGUUCUUGCCAACAGGGUUUGGAGGGAAUAAAUCCACCUUACAGAGGGGAAAUUGAAGGAAA